rnacentral:rRNA from 1 species
GACAGAGGUGCGGAGCGUUAGGCGGAAUCACUGGGCUUAAAGCGUGUGUAGGCGGAUUUGUAAGUACCUUGUUUGAAAAUCCCACCGGGCUCAACCGUUGGAACUGCUUGGUAUACUGCUUAAAUCUUGGGUCGGUCUAGGGGGCGCGGAACAAACGGUGGAGCGGUGAAAUGCGUAGAAUAUCGUUGGAACGCCAAUGGUGAAAAACAGCUCGCU